rnacentral:rRNA from 1 species
UAGUCUGGUGCCAGCAGCCGCGGUAAUUCCAGCUCCAAUAGCGUAUAUUUAAGUUGUUGCAGUUAAAAAGCUCGUAGUUGGAUUUCGGGUGUGGGGCGCCGGUCCGCUUCGGUGUGCACUGGCGGCCCAGGCCUUCUUGUCGGGGACGCGCUCUGGCUUUCGUUAGUUGGACGCGGAGUCGGCGCAGUUACUUUGAAAAAAUUAGAGUGUUCAAAGCAGGCUUUCGCUUGAAUACAUUAGCAUGGAAUAACAUGAUAGGACUCCGAUCCCAUUGUGUUGGUCUUCGGGACUGGAGUAAUGAUUAAGAGGGACAGUUGGGGGCAUUCGUAUUUCAUUGUCAGAGGUGAAAUUCUUGGAUUUAUGAAAGACGAACUUCUGCGAAAGCAUUUGCCAAGGAUGUUUUCAUUAAUCAAGAACGAAAGUUGGGGGCUCGAAGAUGAUUAGAUACCAUCGUAGUCUCAACCAUAAACGAUGCCGACUAGGGAUUGGCGGAUGUUACUUGAUGACAUCGCCAGCACCUUGUGAGAAAUCAAAGUCUUUGGGUUCCGGGGGGAGUAUGGUCGCAAGGCUGAAACUUAAAGGAAUUGACGGAAGGGCACCACCAUGGCGUGGAGCCUGCGGCUUAAUUUGACUCAACACGGGGAAACUUACCAGGUCCAGACACAGUGAUGAUUGACAGAUUGAGAGCUCUUUCUUGAUUCUGUGGGUGGUGGUGCAUGGCCGUUCUU